GUCUGUGGAUGCCUCUCGUGUUCUUUCCGUCCUGCUCAAAGUUUGCUUUCACCUUCCUUGACUUUGUGUUCGUGACUGAUGAUGAUCAUUUCUGAGUGAAGCUCCAUAUGAAGAGUUUGAAGAAGAGAGCUGAACUCUUCUUCAGUCAAAUGAUGUUUCUCUGUCUCUGCAUCUGUUUCUCUGAGUACAGCUGUGUUUGAAAGAACUGGAAAGCCCAAUUCUCCAACAUGUUAACUCUGCUGAUCGUCUUUGAAUCCUGGAUCAGGAGGUGAAGGUAGAAAGUGUGUGUGAGCUGAUGUGAAUUGAGCAG